UUGGGUAGGUUAAGUACCUUGACUCAGGUGU
rnacentral:piRNA from 1 species